rnacentral:lncRNA from 1 species
AUAGAAAGCCCGCAGAGACAUGCUCUGUUUAGACACACUAAUCGUUUCCUCCUUGUCCUCGUGGAGGUGGUAAGCACUCCCCCUCCCCCACUCCUUUUAGGAUUUUGGUUUCGGUCUCCUCCUAAAUGUGUAGUCUAGGUGUUGAGGUACGGGCAUCCUUUUUGAGGACCUCACUUGAUCCACAUUCCCAGGUCGCCUAGGGACAGUUUUUUAGUAGACACAACACAUUCAUUUAGUAAUUCUCCACUUUAAACAAGGCUGUAAAAUAACACGUAAGAAAGGAAGGUGAAAGUGGUGAUACAGGCCUGUGAUCCCGGCCCUAGGGAGGCGGAAACAGAAGAUUCACCAUCAUCCUUGGCUACAAAGUGAGUUGAGGCCAAAUUGGCCUCCAUAAAGCCCAUCUCAAUAAGUAAACAGACAGAGACACACAGGGUGUUUAGAGAUUACACAGCCUACAGUAGAGAACAGGGCAGUACUGCUGUCCUCAUUUUGGGACCAACAACAAAACACAUUCUUAAAAGGCCCAAACUCCAGGUCUAUACGAAUGAUUCUGGGUGGAUCAAGGCGCUGUGGGUGAGGGAAGCGAAGGUAACGUGCUUGUCUUACCGUUUCAUGUUAACAGAGCCGUAUAAGAAGGAUGUGGAAUGACACCGUGAGGAAGCAGUCUGAAUCGUCUUUUAUCUCAGGUGACAUCAAUAGCACUUCUACCCUUAAUCAAGGACAUUCACUGAACAAUACCCGGGACACCAGCGCCAUGGAUACUCUACCGCUAA